rnacentral:rRNA from 1 species
UACGGAGGGUGCGAGCGUUGUCCGGAAUCACUGGGCGUAAAGGGCGCGUAGGUGGCGCGGGAAGUCAACGGUGAAAGUUCGGGGCUCAACCCUGAAUCGGCCGUCGAUACUCCCGGGCUCGAGCACUGUAGAGGCAGAUGGAAUUCCGGGUGUAGCGGUGGAAUGCGUAGAGAUCCGGAAGAACACCGGUGGCGAAGGCGGUCUGCUGGGGCCCUCUUGACGCUGAGGCGCGAAAGCUGGGGGAGCGAACGGG